ACGUCUCAUCGUGAAUCAUCGAAUCUUUGAACGCAACUUGCACCGUAUGGGUCUUCCGUACGGUUUGCCUGUUUGAGUAUUGACUGACUUUUAUCGGGCUCAUUUGGCUUCGCUUGCGCGGCCGUGGUAGGUCCGGACGCUGAUCGGCCGCUUUCCUCGGAAGGUGACGGAUCGAAAUCCAUGUGGCAACGCAUCUGCGCUGUCUGUCGGUGUCAAAACCAUCCUGUCUUUGCUAGGUCCUUGUGACAUUUCUUUGGACGGACACGGUUGCGACGCAUACCAAACGACGGAUCACUGCGAUGUGCCUGCUGCAAAACCACCAUAUUUCAUCAAUGCAAUCUCAAAUCAGGCAAGAUGACCCGCUGAACUUAAGCAUAUCAAUAAGCGGAGG
rnacentral:rRNA from 1 species